AGACAUCUACAAUGAAAGCUGUAAGCGUCGUGGUCCUAAUAUCAGUUCUUCAGAAUGUUGCAGCGAUAACUGUGAUCUUCGAGGACAAAUACAAUGACGUCCAGAACCGAAUCUUUAAACAAUACAGGAAUCUCGCAUUUCCCGAGGCCGGGAUUACCGAUAUCCCGCCUGACGGACGGCAUUACGGU